ensembl:miRNA
GCAUAAUAAUAAAGUACAACUUCGGUAUACUUUGUGAAUUGGCUUUUACAAAAGACCAAAACAUGAAGUAUACUGAAGUCGUACUUUAUUACAACUAAAAAUGGUUUGUGAA